UACGGAGGAUGCGAACGUUAUCCGGAUUUAUUGGGCGUAAAGGGCUCGUAGGUGGCCAACUAAGUCAGACGUGAAAUCCCUCGGCUUAACCGGGGAACUGCGUCUGAUACUGGAUGGCUUGAGUUUGGGAGAGGGAUGCGGAAUUCCAGGUGUAGCGGUGAAAUGCGUAGAUAUCUGGAGGAACACCGGUGGCGAAGGCGGCAUCCUGGACCAACACUGACACUGAGGAGCGAAAGCCAGGGGAGCAAACGGG
rnacentral:rRNA from 1 species